GUGGGAUUGGGGAUGAAGUGGUUGACGACGCCCCCGAACACCGCCAGCGUGCGCUUGCCGUCCUGCACCAUCUGCACACCACGGCUGCGGAAUUCCUU
rnacentral:sRNA from 1 species